rnacentral:rRNA from 1 species
CUAAUCUGCGAUAAGCGCCGGUAAGGUGAUAUGAACCGUUAUAACCGGCGAUACCCGAAUGGGGAAACCCAGUGUGAUUCGUCACACUAUCAUUAACUGAAUCCAUAGGUUAAUGAGGCGAACCGGGGGAACUGAAACAUCUAAGUACCCCGAGGAAAAGAAAUCAACCGAGAUUCCCCCAGUAGCGGCGAGCGAACGGGGAGGAGCCCAGAGCCUGAAUCAGCAUGUGUGUUAGUGGAAGCGUCUGGAAAGGCGCGCGAUACAGGGUGACAGCCCCGUACACAAAAGCGCAUGUGCUGUGAGCUCGAUGAGUAGGGCGGGACACGUGGUAUCCUGUCUGAAUAUGGGGGGACCAUCCUCCAAGGCUAAAUACUCCUGACUGACCGAUAGUGAACCAGUACCGUGAGGGAAAGGCGAAAAGAACCCCGGCGAGGGGAGUGAAAAAGAACCUGAAACCGUGUACGUACAAGCAGUGGGAGCACCCUUUGGGUGUGACUGCGUACCUUUUGUAUAAUGGGUCAGCGACUUAUAUUCUGUAGCAAGGUUAACCGAAUAGGGGAGCCGGAGGGAAACCGAGUCUUAAUUGGGCGUUAAGUUGCAGGGUAUAGACCCGAAACCCGGUGAUCUAGCCAUGGGCAGGUUGAAGGUUGGGUAACACUAACUGGAGGACCGAACCGACUAAUGUUGAAAAAUUAGCGGAUGACCUGUGGCUGGGGGUGAAAGGCCAAUCAAACCGGGAGAUAGCUGGUUCUCCCCGAAAGCUAUUUAGGUAGCGCCUCGUGAAUUCAUCUCCGGGGGUAGAGCACUGUUUCGGCUAGGGGGCCAUCCCGGCUUACCAACCCGAUGCAAACUGCGAAUACCGGAGAAUGUUAUCACGGGAGACACACGGCGGGUGCUAACGUCCGUCGUGAAGAGGGAAACAACCCAGACCGCCAGCUAAGGUCCCAAAGUCAUGGUUAAGUGGGAAACGAUGUGGGAAGGCCCAGACAGCCAGGAUGUUGGCUUAGAAGCAGCCAUCAUUUAAAGAAAGCGUAAUAGCUCACUGGUCGAGUCGGCCUGCGCGGAAGAUGUAACGGGGCUAAACCAUGCACCGAAGCUGCGGCAGCGACACUGUGUGUUGUUGGGUAGGGGAGCGUUCUGUAAGCCUGUGAAGGUGUGUCGUGAGGCAUGCUGGAGGUAUCAGAAGUGCGAAUGCUGACAUAAGUAACGAUAAAGCGGGUGAAAAGCCCGCUCGCCGGAAGACCAAGGGUUCCUGUCCAACGUUAAUCGGGGCAGGGUGAGUCGACCCCUAAGGCGAGGCCGAAAGGCGUAGUCGAUGGGAAACGGGUUAAUAUUCCCGUACUUGGUGUUACUGCGAAGGGGGGACGGAGAAGGCUAUGUUGGCCGGGCGACGGUUGUCCCGGUUUAAGCGUGUAGGUGUGUGUUCCAGGUAAAUCCGGUUCACUUUAACACUGAGGCGUGACGACGAGGCACUACGGUGCUGAAGCAACAAAUGCCCUGCUUCCAGGAAAAGCCUCUAAGCAUCAGGUAACAUCAAAUCGUACCCCAAACCGACACAGGUGGUCAGGUAGAGAAUACCAAGGCGCUUGAGAGAACUCGGGUGAAGGAACUAGGCAAAAUGGUGCCGUAACUUCGGGAGAAGGCACGCUGACACGUAGGUGAAGUGAUUUACUCAUGGAGCUGAAGUCAGUCGAAGAUACCAGCUGGCUGCAACUGUUUAUUAAAAACACAGCACUGUGCAAACACGAAAGUGGACGUAUACGGUGUGACGCCUGCCCGGUGCCGGAAGGUUAAUUGAUGGGGUCAGCGCAAGCGAAGCUCCUGAUCGAAGCCCCGGUAAACGGCGGCCGUAACUAUAACGGUCCUAAGGUAGCGAAAUUCCUUGUCGGGUAAGUUCCGACCUGCACGAAUGGCGUAAUGAUGGCCAGGCUGUCUCCACCCGAGACUCAGUGAAAUUGAACUCGCUGUGAAGAUGCAGUGUACCCGCGGCAAGACGGAAAGACCCCGUGAACCUUUACUAUAGCUUGACACUGAACAUUGAGCCUUGAUGUGUAGGAUAGGUGGGAGGCUUUGAAGUGUGGACGCCAGUCUGCAUGGAGCCGACCUUGAAAUACCACCCUUUAAUGUUUGAUGUUCUAACGUGGACCCGUUACCCGGGUUGCGGACAGUGUCUGGUGGGUAGUUUGACUGGGGCGGUCUCCUCCUAAAGAGUAACGGAGGAGCACGAAGGUUGGCUAAUCCUGGUCGGACAUCAGGAGGUUAGUGCAAUGGCAUAAGCCAGCUUGACUGCGAGCGUGACGGCGCGAGCAGGUGCGAAAGCAGGUCAUAGUGAUCCGGUGGUUCUGAAUGGAAGGGCCAUCGCUCAACGGAUAAAAGGUACUCCGGGGAUAACAGGCUGAUACCGCCCAAGAGUUCAUAUCGACGGCGGUGUUUGGCACCUCGAUGUCGGCUCAUCACAUCCUGGGGCUGAAGUAGGUCCCAAGGGUAUGGCUGUUCGCCAUUUAAAGUGGUACGCGAGCUGGGUUUAGAACGUCGUGAGACAGUUCGGUCCCUAUCUGCCGUGGGCGCUGGAGAACUGAGGGGGGCUGCUCCUAGUACGAGAGGACCGGAGUGGACGCAUCACUGGUGUUCGGGUUGUCAUGCCAAUGGCACUGCCCGGUAGCUAAAUGCGGAAGAGAUAAGUGCUGAAAGCAUCUAAGCACGAAACUUGCCCCGAGAUGAGUUCUCCCUGAGACUUAAAGUCUCCUGAAGGAACGUUGAAGACGACGACGUUGAUAGGCCGGGUGUGUAAGCGCAGCGAUGCGUUGAGCUAACCGGUACUAAUGAACCGUGAGGCUUAACCUUACAACGCCGAAG